CUGGCGUCUCACUCCGAACUCGAGGAACUAUCGCCAGGGUCUUGCUCUUUGAUUCCUUCUUCCUCCUGUCAUCUGCGAACCAAAGAGGAAUUGUGUUCAGAAGAGCAAACUAUGCAAAAAGAGACGUCAGUAUCAGUCAUUGGUAACUGCUCGCCUCGCAUAUCCGUUGUUGGUAUGGACCUCGUUAAUCUACCUCUCCCAACUGGCGGAUCUACUGACAUGGGAGACCCAGACAUACUUCUCCCUCCACCGCCCCUGCACUUCAACCCCAGCAGCACAACCUUCUGGUUUGAUGGUGGAGGUCUGAACUCCAGAGCAGGUUCCAUUCAUUGAAGUGAGUGGAGAAGAAUACUGAAAAUUUUCGCUCAACACGUACAUUGU